rnacentral:rRNA from 1 species
UCUUCCCUCUUUCUUUGUGCCUAAUACAUGCAAGUCGAGCGAACAGACGAGGAGCUUGCUCCUCUGACGUUAGCGGCGGACGGGUGAGUAACACGUGGAUAACCUACCUAUAAGACUGGGAUAACUUCGGGAAACCGGAGCUAAUACCGGAUAAUAUAUUGAACCGCAUGGUUCAAUAGUGAAAGACGGUUUUGCUGUCACUUAUAGAUGGAUCCGCGCCGCAUUAGCUAGUUGGUAAGGUAACGGCUUACCAAGGCAACGAUGCGUAGCCGACCUGAGAGGGUGAUCGGCCACACUGGAACUGAGACACGGUCCAGACUCCUACGGGAGGCAGCAGUAGGGAAUCUUCCGCAAUGGGCGAAAGCUUGACGGAGCAACGCCGCGUGAGUGAUGAAGGUCUUCGGAUCGUAAAACUCUGUUAUUAGGGAAGAACAAAUGUGUAAGUAACUAUGCACGUCUUGACGGUACCUAAUCAGAAAGCCACGGCUAACUACGUG